ACCUGGCUGGCUUAGUUGGUGGAGCGUGCGAAUCUUGAUCUCAAGGUCGUGAGUUCAAGCCCCAUGUUGGGCA
rnacentral:tRNA from 1 species